rnacentral:rRNA from 1 species
UCCAUGGUGUAGCAAUACACCGGAAGAUUUAGUGGCGAACGGGUGAGGAUCACGUGAGAAACCUGCCCCAGACUUUGGGAUAACAGUUGGAAAACGACUGCUAAUACCGAAUGACGCGGAGAACCGCAUGGUUCACUUGACGAAAGGAAAUCCGGUUCGGGAGGGUCUCGCGGCCUAUCAGCUUUGUUGGUGGGGUAAAUGGCCUACCAAGGCAACGACGGGUAGCUGGUCUGAGAGGAUGAUCAGCCACACUGGGACUGAGACACGGCCCAGACUCC